rnacentral:rRNA from 1 species
UACGAAGGGGGCUAGCGUUGCUCGGAAUCACUGGGCGUAAAGCGCACGUAGGCGGAUCUUUAAGUCAGGGGUGAAAUCCUGGAGCUCAACUCCAGAACUGCCUUUGAUACUGGGGAUCUCGAGUCCGGGAGAGGUGAGUGGAACUCCAAGUGUAGAGGUGAAAUUCGUAGAUAUUCGGAAGAACACCAGUGGCGAAGGCGGCUCACUGGCCCGGUACUGACGCUGAGGUGCGAAAGCGUGGGGAGCAAACAGG